UGCGCAUUCCUUCCUCUUUCUCUCCCUGCAACUACACCUUCGCGUUUUGACUGUGAGUCCUUUUUGUCCCCUACUGCGUGCCGUGUGACUUCCCGGCGGACGUGCUGGCUGCGAAGCAAGAUGGCAGCCACUGCGGCGGUGCCUGGCGCUGCGGCCGGCCGAGCGAGCAAACGCGGCGGCGGCGGCUCGGGCGGCGGGGGAACCCAAGGUGCGGAGGAGGAGCCGCCGCCGCCCCUCCAGGCAGUUCUAGUGGCCGAUAGCUUCAACCGCCGCUUCUUCCCCAUCUCCAAGGACCAGCCUCGGGUCCUCUUGCCCCUGGCCAACGUUGCGCUAAUUGACUAUACUCUGGAGUUCCUGACUGCCACGGGUGUACAGGAAACAUUUGUCUUUUGCUGCUGGAAAGCUGCUCAGAUCAAAGAACACUUACAGAAAUCCAAGUGGUGCCAUCCUACGUCCCCCAACGUUGUUCGGAUAAUCACAUCAGAGCUAUACCGAUCACUAGGAGACGUCCUCCGUGACGUCGAUGCCAAGGCCUUGGUGCGCUCUGACUUUCUCUUGAUAUAUGGAGAUGUCAUCUCAAAUAUCAAUAUCUGCAGAGCCCUGGAGGAACACAGGUUAAGAAGGAAGCUAGAAAAAAAUGUCUCUGUGAUGACAAUGGUCUUCAAAGAGUCGUCACCCAGCCACCCUACACGCUGCCAUGAGGACAACGUGGUGAUGGCUGUGGACAGCGCCACCAACAGGGUUCUUCACUUCCAGAAGACCCAAGGCCUCCGGCGCUUUUCCUUUCCAUUGAGCCUGUUCCAGGGCAGUGGAGACGGAGUGGAGAUUCGAUAUGAUUUGUUGGACUGUCACAUCAGCAUCUGCUCUCCUCAGGUAGCUCAGCUCUUCACAGACAAUUUUGACUACCAAACUCGAGAUGAUUUUGUACGAGGCAUAUUAAUGAAUGAGGAGGUCCUAGGAAACCAGAUUCACUUGCAUGUGACAACUAGGGAAUAUGGUGCCCGGGUCUCCAACCUACACAUGUACUCAGCUGUUUGUGCUGACGUCAUCCGCCGAUGGGUCUACCCUCUCACUCCAGAAGUAAACUUCACUGACAGCACCACCCAGAGCUACACUCAUUCCCGACACAACAUCUACCGAGGGCCUGAAGUCAGCCUGGGCCAUGGCAGCGUCCUGGAGGAAAAUGUGCUUUUGGGAGCUGGCACUGUCAUCGGCAGCAACUGCUCCAUCACCAACAGUGUCAUCGGCCCUAACUGCCAUAUUGGACUCUUUCGGAUGUGGGACCCUGAGUGACCGGAAGUCCUCCUCAUUCUGAGCCAGGUGAUAAUGUGGUACUGGACCAGGCCUACCUGUGGCAGGGAGUUCGAGUGGCUGCUGGAGCACAAAUACACCAAUCUCUGCUCUGUGACAGAGCUGAGGUCAAGGAGCGAGUCAAACUGAAGCCAUACUGUGUUCUCACUUCCCAGGUGGUAGUGGGCCCAGACAUCACGCUGCCGGAGGGCUCGGUGAUCUCUUUGCAUCCUCCAGAUGCAGAGGAAGAUGAAGAUGAUGGCCAGUUUAGUGAUGAUUCUGGAGCUGACCAAGAAAAGGAGAAAGUGAAGCUGAAAGGUUACAAUCCAGCAGAAGUUGGCCUUGAAGGCCAGGGAUACCUCUGGAAAGCUGAGGGUGUGAACUCGAAAGAAGAUGAGGAGCUACGGCAGAGUCUCUGGGGACUCAUGAUCAAGACGGAGGAGGAAAGUGAGACUGAAAGUGAGGGAAGUGUGGAUCCUGAGGAGCUGGACAGCCGAGCAGGCUCCCCUCAGCUGGAUGACAUCAGAGUUUUCCAGAACGAGGUCCUGGGAACGCUGCAGCGGGGCAGAGAGGAGAACAUCUCCUGUGAAAAUCUAGUCCUGGAGAUCAACUCUCUCAAGCAUGCCUACAACAUUAGCCUAAAGGAAGUGAUGCAGGUCCUGACCCUUGUAGUCCUGGAGUUCCCCCUGCAACAAGUCGAUGGCCUGCUUGACCCAAACCGCUACUGUGCCUUGCUGCUUCCUCUGCUCAAAGCCUGGAGCCCUGUUUUAAGGAACUACAUAAAGCGUGCAGCUGACCACUUGGAAGCAUUGGCAGCCAUUGAGGACUUCUUCUUGGAACAUGAAACUCUCGUUACUUCCAUGGCCAAGGUCCUGAUGGCUUUCUACCAGCUGGAGAUCUUGGCUGAGGAAACAAUCUUGAGCUGGUUCAGCCAAAGAGACACAACUGACGAAGGCCAGCAGUUACGGAAGAAUCAACAGCUGCAGAGGUUCAUCCAGUGGCUGAGAGAGGCAGAAGAAGAGUCAUCCGAAGAUGACUGAUGGUGACUGCCAGAUCCGUGCAUCUCAUUGGCUGUCCUCGUAACAAGAGAGCUGACAGAAAGCUAGCUACAGAAGCAUGAGUGGCCACGGCAGACUGAGAAUUAUUGGAACGGAAGUUGCAACUACAGUAUUCUUCCUACUGCUGGCAGCCAUGUGCUGCUCGUCCUGACUGAAGUUAGGAUGAGGGAAGUUAGACUGCGUUAGGGGAACUCUAGACAGACCCUGCAGUUGGGGGUGGGCCAGAGUAAGUACUUUGUGUUCCAGCUUUCCCUUGGGGAACAGUAAAGAGCAGCUGGUCCUCUC